UUUCCGUAGGUGAACCUGCGGAAGGAUCAUUAUUGUAUAACCGAGGUGCGAGGGCUGUCGCUGACCCGAAAGGUCGUGCACGCCCGAGUGCCCUCACACACAUCCAUCUCACCCCUAUGUGCACCACCGCGUGGGUCCCCCUUUGGCUUGUUCGGAGGGGGGCUUACGUUUUCACACAAACUUUGUAUGCAGUGUAGAAUGUAUUUUUUGUUUUUGCGAUCACGCAAUCAAUACAACUUUCAACAACGGAUCUCUUGGCUCUCGCAUCGAUGAAAAACGCAGC
rnacentral:misc_RNA from 1 species